AAUAAGUGUAGUUUUACACUGAUUAUCUCCAACAUUUGAUCGUUCGUCUUAUUUGAAAAUUUUUUAUGAUUAGUAUUUUUGUUGUUACUAGAUAAUAAAAUAUAAAUAGUACUUUAUGUGUGACUAAUUUUUUUUAACUUUUUCAUAAUUUUUUUAAAUAAGACGGACGAUCAAACGUUAGAUACGAAUAUCUAUAGCUGCGCUUAUU
rfam:Oryza meridionalis cultivar OR44 (W2112) chromosome 3, whole genome shotgun sequence.